rnacentral:rRNA from 1 species
CAAUAGCGUAUAUUAAAGUUGUUGCAGUUAAAAAGCUCGUAGUUGGAUUUGUGGUUCGUCCCGCCGGCUGGGUCAUUGACUUUUGCUGUGCUGGUCGUCCAUCCUUGGGUGGAAUCUGUGUGGCAUUAGGUUGUCGCGCAGGGGAUGCCCAUCGUUUACUGUGAAAAAAUUAGAGUGUUCAAAGCAGGCUUAUGCCGUUGAAUAUAUUAGCAUGGAAUAAUGAUAUAGGACCUUGGUACUAUUUUGUUGGUUUGCGCACUGAGGUAAUGAUUAAUAGGGACAGUUGGGGGUAUUCGUAUUCCAUUGUAAGAGGUGAAAUUCUUGGAUUUUUGGAAGACGAGCUACUGCGAAAGCAUUUACCAAGGAUGUUUNCAUUAA